ACUCUUGAGGACUACAUCUCCCGUCCUGCUUCGCGGCCAGGAGCCCGAUACGGCGGCAGGAGAGCGGCGUGGCAGGAUAUAACGAGCACAGUGCUGUCCAUUUCCUUCAAGGGGCUCACAAUUGAACCGAGGGAGACAAACCAAUUGAGUGAUAACUGGUCUUGACUUUGAAUGCAGCAGAAAUUCAGAGAGAGGUGAUAACAUGCACUGAAGUAGUAAGAGAAGACUUUAAGAAGAAGAGAACCAAGCCAAGCUCUUCAAAGUUCCAGCUUCCUGCUCCCAGGAACACAAACACCCCAAAUUACAGGGGCUUUUGAUUGCCAUUUCCUUGGGACAGGCUGAAGAGAGAAUCGAAAGAAGUUCUUUUCAGUAUGGUUGCAUAACAUCGAGUCGGAGAUUGUGAAAUGUCCUUUGAGAAAAAUGUACGGGCAGGAAGAUGAAUAGGUGUCUGUUUGAUUAAG